CAGUCGCCGCGGGAAUACGUAGGGUGCAAGCGUUAAUCGGAAUUACUGGGCGUAAAGCGUGCGCAGGCGGUUAUAUAAGACAGAUGUGAAAUCCCCGGGCUCAACCUGGGAACUGCAUUUGUGACUGUAUAGCUAGAGUACGGCAGAGGGGGAUGGAAUUCCGCGUGUAGCAGUGAAAUGCGUAGAUAUGCGGAGGAACACCGGUGGCGAAGGCGGCCCCCUGGACAAAGACUGACGCUCAGGUGCGAAAGCGUGGGGAGCAAACAGGAUUAGAUACCCGAGUAGUCCCUGUCUCUUAUAC
rnacentral:rRNA from 1 species